rnacentral:rRNA from 1 species
GUGCCAGCCGCCGCGGUAAUACGUAGGUGGCAAGCGUUAUCCGGAAUUAUUGGGUGUAAAGCGCGCGUAGGCGGUUUUUUAAGUCUGAUGUGAAAGCCCACGGCUCAACCGUGGAGGGUCAUUGGAAACUGGAAAACUUGAGUGCAGAAGAGGAAAGUGGAAUUCCAUGUGUAGCGGUGAAAUGCGCAGAGAUAUGGAGGAACACCAGUGGCGAAGGCGACUUUCUGGUCUGUAACUGACGCUGAUGUGCGAAAGCGUGGGGAUCAAACAGGAU